AUUUCCUACGGGACGCAGCAGUGGGGAAUAUUGCACAAUGGGGGAAACCCUGAUGCAGCGACGCCGCGUGAAGGACGAAGUAUUUCGGUACGUAAACUUCUAUCAGCAGGGAAGAAAAUGACGGUACCUGACUAAGAAGCCCCGGCUAACUACGUGCCAGCAGCCGCGGUAAUACGUAGGGGGCAAGCGUUAUCCGGAUUUACUGGGUGUAAAGGGAGCGUAGACGGCUGUGCAAGUCUGAAGUGAAAGCCCAGGGCUCAACCCUGGGACUGCUUUGGAAACUGUGGAGCUAGAGUGCUGGAGAG
rnacentral:rRNA from 1 species